rnacentral:rRNA from 1 species
CCUACGGGAGGCAGCAGUAGGGAAUCUUCCACAAUGGGCGAAAGCCUGAUGGAGCAACGCCGCGUGGGUGAAGAAGGUCUUCGGAUCGUAAAACUCUGUUGUUAGAGAAGAAAGUGCGUGAGAGUAACUGUUCACGUUUCGACGGUAUCUAACCAGAAAGCCACGGCUAACUACGUGCCAGCAGCCGCGGUAAUACGUAGGUGGCAAGCGUUAUCCGGAUUUAUUGGGCGUAAAGGGAACGCAGGCGGUCUUUUAAGUCUGAUGUGAAAGCCUUCGGCUUAACCGGAGUAGUGCAUUGGAAACUGGGAGACUUGAGUGCAGAAGAGGAGAGUGGAACUCCAGGUGUAGCGGUGAAAUGCGUAGAUAUAUGGAAGAACACCAGUGGCGAAGGCGGCUCUCUGGUCUGUAACUGACGCUGAGGUUCGAAAGCGUGGGUAGCAAACAGGAUUAGAUACCCCUGUAGUC